CUGCAGGAUGUCGAGUAGCCCAGGGUUCCCUACAAGGAAACAAGUUGUAAACUACCAUACUUGACAGCAUGGUUCAAAGUCAUUCAAGAAACAAUGAAGAGAGUGAAGUGGAGAAUGAAUGUUGUAAAACCACAAAAGAUUGGGAGUUGAGAAAAACCUUUAUGAGAACAUCUCAUCCAACCCAUUCAUUUUACACAACCCUCACAAAGGAAAAGCCCAGUGAGUUGAUAAUCAUUAAUAUUUCAUUGAAAACCAAUCCAUAUUUUCUGUGAUGGUGACAUGGACAUUCCACUUCAUCAGGAAACCAUUUUACAAAAUUAGAAAAAGCAAGGCACUAUUCUGGAAAGCAGAAGCCAAGACUACUUAUCAUUAUUAUUUAUUACUUAUUGGGUGCCAAAUGGGUCCCCGCUGCAGAGAAGGACUCACAGAAGCCUCAUGCACAGGCACGGUCCCUGUUCCCUGGAUUCACAACCAAUUCCGAAGGCAAAGCUGCAAUGGCCCCUGCAUCUUUAAUUACUGGUAACUGCCUCUGCCCUGGAACCACAAAAGGAAGACCAGGGCUUCCUAUCACUUUCUCAGACAUGAAGACAAAUGAGAAGGGAAGCAAGAUGGGUAAUUAAUUUCAACCAGACCUGGAAGAGCAAAACUUUCUGCUGUGGUACCAUACACAGCAUUUAUCAGGAGAACCUCUCUCCCAGCAGAGCCGGAAUCAUUGAUUCACAGAUAGGAGGCAGGCUGCCGUUUCAAGAAGAACCAGCAGAGGAAAA